GCUUACGGCCAUACCAGCCUGAAUACGCCCUGAUCUCGGAAGCUAAACAGGAUUGGGCCUGGUUAGUACUUGGAUGGGAGACCGCCUGGGAAUACCAGGUGCUGCAAGCU
ensembl:rRNA 5S_rRNA 5S ribosomal RNA